GACGUAGGGGGCCAGCGUUGCUCGGAAUUACUGGGCGUAAAGGGUUCGUAGGCGGUGCGGCAAGUCGGAAGUGAAAUCUCUGGGCUUAACUCAGGGGCUGCUCCCGAAACUGCCGUGCUUGAGUGCGGGAGAGGCGAGUGGAAUUGCAGGUGUAGCGGUGAAAUGCGUAGAUAUCUGCAGGAACACCCGUGGCGAAGGCGGCUCGCUGGACCGCAACUGACGCUGAGGAACGAAAGCUAGGGGAGCAAACAGG
rnacentral:rRNA from 1 species